AGUGAACGCUGGCGGUAGGCCUAACACAUGCAAGUCGAACGGCAGCACAGUAAGAUCUUGCUCUUACGGGUGGCGAGUGGCGGACGGGUGAGGAAUACAUCGGAAUCUACUUUUUCGUGGGGGAUAACGUAGGGAAACUUACGCUAAUACCGCAUACGACCUACGGGUGAAAGCAGGGGAUCUUCGGACCUUGCGCGAUUGAAUGAGCCGAUGUCGGAUUAGCUAGUUGGCGGGGUAAAGGCCCACCAAGGCGACGAUCCGUAGCUGGUCUGAGAGGAUGAUCAGCCACACUGGAACUGAGACACGGUCCAGACUCCUACGGGAGGCAGCAGUUGGGAAUAUUGGACAAUGGGCGCAAGCCUGAUCCAGCCAUACCGCGUGGGUGAAGAAGGCCUUCGGGUUGUAAAGCCCUUUUGUUGGGAAAGAAAAGCAGCAGGUUAAUACCCCGCUGUUCUGACGGUACCCAAAGAAUAAGCACCGGCUAACUUCGUG
rnacentral:rRNA from 1 species